CCUACGGGGUGCAGCAGUGGGGAAUAUUGCACAAUGGGCGCAAGCCUGAUGCAGCCAUGCCGCGUGUGUGAAGAAGGCCUUCGGGUUGUAAAGCACUUUCAGCGGGGAGGAAGGCGGUGAGGUUAAUAACCUCAUCGAUUGACGUUACCCGCAGAAGAAGCACCGGCUAACUCCGUGCCAGCAGCCGCGGUAAUACGGAGGGUGCAAGCGUUAAUCGGAAUUACUGGGCGUAAAGCGCACGCAGGCGGUCUGUCAAGUCGGAUGUGAAAUCCCCGGGCUCAACCUGGGAACUGCAUUCGAAACUGGCAGGCUAGAGUCUUGUAGAGGGGCGUAGAAUUCCAGGUGUAGCGGUGAAAUGCGUAGAGAUCUGGAGGAAUACCGGUGGCGAAGGCGGCCCCCUGGACAAAGACUGACGCUCAGGUGCGAAAGCGUGGGGAGCAAACAGGAUUAGAUACCCUAGUAGUC
rnacentral:rRNA from 1 species